rnacentral:lncRNA from 1 species
ACCCCUAGAAUAACCUCUCUAUUUCUUUACAGCUGCUUGUUUCUAGAAUCUUCACCUCUAUUCUCAAUUCCAGCUCAUCCAGAAUUCUUGUAUGAUUUACUUUUUAAUCUUUUUGGAUCAUGGGUCUCAUUUUCUGGGCCUUUAGCUGAAAUCCUAUCAACAUGCAGCGUAAAUGUUACAAAUAUUUUGAAAAUUAAUAUUAAGCUAAAUUUGUAAAAACAAAAGGGGACAUAUGUUUAAAAAAACAAAAUCUUUAUUCAAUAACUUGUUUAUCAUAAUUAUUAUAUUUACAAAAUUAGGAACUUUUUUCCUUUAAAAACAUCUUCAUCUUCCAAUGAUACUAAUUCUUUGGAAAAAGGUAUAAAUAAUAAGAUUUUUUUAUUAUUUUCUAAUAAAAUUGAUAAAUUUAUUGAUUUACUAUCGAA